rnacentral:sRNA from 1 species
UAUAAUACAGCAACUGCCGAAGACAGUAGGUGCUGUAAAGCGUAAGGAUUAAAACGCCUACCGAGGAAAGUGAGAUUUAUUACGAAAGUAUGAAUUUGCAAACCUCUGUGUCUUUGGAUGCAGAGGUUUUUUGUUUG